rnacentral:rRNA from 1 species
UACGUAGGGGGCAAGCGUUGUCCGGAUUUAUUGGGCGUAAAGAGCGUGUAGGCGGCCACACAGGUCUGCUGUGAAAACUCGAGGCUCAACCUCGAGCUGUCGGUGGAAACCGUGUGGCUAGAGUCCGGAAGAGGAGAGUGGAAUUCCCGGUGUAGCGGCGAAAUGCGUAGAUAUCGUGAGGAACACCAGAGGCGAAGGCGGCUUCCUGGACAAUUGCUGACGCUCAGGCACGAAAGCGUGGGGAGCAAAAGGG